rnacentral:misc_RNA from 1 species
GUGAAGAACGUAGCGAAAUGCGAUAAGUAAUGUGAAUUGCAGAAUUCAGUGAAUCAUCGAGUCUUUGAACGCACAUUGCGCCCCCUGGUAUUCCGGGGGGCAUGCCUGUCCGAGCGUCAUUGCCGCCCUCAAGCACGGCUUGUGUGUUGGGCCCCCGCCCCCCGGCUUCGGGGGGCGGGCCCGAAAGGCAGCGGCGGCACCGCGUCCGGUCCUCGAGCGUAUGGGGCUUCGUCACCCGCUCUGUAGGCCCGGCCGGCGCCCGCCGGCGACCCCAAUCAAUCUUUCCAGGUUGACCUCGGAUCAGGUAGGGAUACCCGCUGAACUUAAGCAUAUCAAUAAGCGGAGGA